rnacentral:ncRNA from 2 species
UAUAAUAAUGGCUUCAUCGGUUUUGUCGAGGAUCAGUCGGCAAAAGUAAAGGGGAAAGCACGGUGCAAAUCCGUCACUGUCCCGCAACUGUAAGGAAGAUUAGCGAUGCUAGCUUCUAAGUCAGGAUGCCCGCCGAGAGACCCAUACAUAU